rnacentral:lncRNA from 1 species
CUCUAUUGCAAUUUUCUUUGGCAGAAUUGACCAGGAAGAAGAAGAAAAAAAAAAUCCUGCUAAAUAUUCAACCAUCACUAAAGACUGCUGGGAAAUUAGCCAAACUGGGGAAGGAACAGUGCUCACAGCAUCUUUUUAACGGGUGGGAGAGUCCUAAAUUCAAGUCCCAGAGAGAGAGAAAGCCUUUCUCCAUCACCAUCUGCUGGAGAUUUUUGGCAAGAGCAGACCUUGCACUUUGCAGUUGGUGUGGACAAAGUAUGUAGCCACCAAAAUGGCAUGGAAUUAAGAGUAAAUAAAGAAAAUCAGUGAAAAGAGAAGAGAAAAAACAAAAGAAAUGAACUAUUUGGAGGGAGGCUGGGUCCACGCGUCUGCAUCACGCUUAGAGUCUGGGCUCACCGGAAGCUGUUCACCAGUCCCCGACUGUCUGACGUCUGCCUGGAACUGUGGCAACUCCGGCUCUAGGAAGAGAAAGGGAGCCUAA